rnacentral:lncRNA from 1 species
AGUCUGUCUGGGGUUCACUUCGAGAGAGAGAGCGCGAGAGAGAGAGAGGCGACCAAUGGAAAGUGUCCCGCAGUAAUGUUGCUUUCCCUACCAAAUGAAUUACUUACUUGUGUUCCCGCGACAAACACGUUUUCCAGCUGCUAUCUUUUCUAUGGCACUUGUCUUUUCACCUUAGAAUGAAAUUAUGAAGUAACGUGUGGACAAGUGAGAAUCACGUGAAACCGCUUGCUUACACACCCCCGCAACAAACUGAAACAAACGCAAUUGAACAACCACCGACCAAAAAAACACAGUUGAAUGAAAAGCAGUACGGUAAUGCUCUUGGGGAGACGGAGGAAACCAACCCCCUACAACGGGUGUAGAAUUUCAACAGACGGAAACAGAACUGCGAGGGAAGGCGCUCCUGGAUCAGAAUGUGUCUUGAAGAAGUGUUAAAGGCACAGGAACAGGACCAGUAGAGGAAUACAUCAGGUGAAAGCAGUACUAAAGCCAAGGUGGUUUUUAUUACAUUUAUUUUUCAUUUUUAACUGUUUUUAUUUUUAGGGGUGGAUCAGCUUAAUAUUGCGGAAA